rnacentral:tRNA from 1 species
AUUUAAAUAGUUUAAAAAAAAUAUUACUUUGUGGUAGUAAAGAUAUAUUUUUAAGUA